AUUGAGGCGCUGCGUCUAGUUCCUCGAGCUUCGCUGCUACCACGGGUGCCGGCACCGCUGGGACCGCUGGGAUCACCGCUCCCUUGGAGAGAACCACCACGCUUAAGAGUACGAUGAGCUAGAAUUUUAGAGAGAAACGACAUGGCUGACACUGGAAACUUGGACGAUCAACAAAGUGGAGGUAAAAGAAGCAGAGCAACGUAUUCUAAACCUAGAGAUGUAAACGUUCAAUAGAGGAGAAGGCAUAAUAAAUCUAUUUAGAGACCGAUUGGACAAUAUUACUCACGACUUUAGGCGACGAUAUUCGACGUAUAAUAAUGUAAAUGUAUAAUAAGAGAAGAGGAACGAUAGCAUUUAUCAUGGACGAGUUAAAAAUUGGUAAGCGUUACUCUAUGUGACUCUAAGCGAUAUUAUUUGAUCAAUAAGACUAGCCAGGACUAAUCGUCGCGAUUAGUGUAUCUCCUUACCUUUCCAGCCAUGUUUGUUUGCAAGAGGAUCGCCAGGAGACUGAUGCCUCGGGGUAAGAUUCGUCGUACUUUUAUACGCGUGAUGACUGUCGGUGUUUUCGUGUCAUCCGCCAACAAUAACCCGAGCUAUUCCUUGCACCCAAACACGAAUCGUGCACACCCGUUUUACACACGCAUACACACCGCCCCCACUUGAAUCUCUCCUUCUUUUAUUCGGGCUGCCUAUUACUCUGUUUCUUUUACCAUCCGAUGACCUCCUCAUAAAUGUUGCGAUGUCCAUACGUACAACUACGAGUCGAUGAGUAUGCGCGCUUAUGUUUCUUCAUAUCGUCGCAGCGUAUACACGCGACUUGUAUGCCAAUAUGUCGAAGAUACAGAGCCACUUCGAGGUCGUGCGACGAAACCGCGAACGUAAACCGUGAACUCCGCUGUAACCCUCUUGACGAAAGGUGUACGCACUUCCAAAAGUUUACGAUAUUGCGCGAUCGUUAUCGAUUAGCAUUUACGUCGCGCCUGCGACACCUUUGGCCAAGCCUGCACGCGAGAGAGAAAAAAGGGUUUCUUAACGCUAGACCAGUGAAGUAUGAGACUUGUAUCAGUGAAAUCGAAACGAACGUGGAAAAUGUGUUGAUUGAAAGGGAAAGAAAAACCUUUAACCGUAUAUUUUACAAAGAUCAUCGAGAUUCCUGAAAAUACACUAUUCGAAAUUUAGAAGAUUUCUACGAAGAAUGACGAGUUGGUCAUUUUUACCGUGUUCUGGUUUCAGCGAUAAUACUUGCGUCGAAAGAAUGCUAACUGUCCCUCGUGAUUCGAUCUUUGGUAAAAUUUCAAAUUAAAAAGAAAUACUUAACGUAUGCAAUGGGAAAAAGUACCGGCUAUCGUCGUAUUUGUUGUAGCAUCUACGUACCGACUAACUGGACUUGAGUAUAUUAAAUCUCGAAUCGUUUAGCAGCACUUUGUGGCGUGACUACAAAAAUUUGAUACCCUGAGAACGAAAUGAAGAUGACCUAGUAAAAGAGGAAACAUUUCAUUGAGAAAGAAACGUAUAUGGAAAUAAUUUUUGCAGCCGGUGUAUAUUGUUUGCGCUAACUAGGUAGUAACCGAAGAAUUUAGGAUAAAAAUGACCCUUGUUCGUGUUUAUCUUCGAUUAAUUCAAAUCAAGUAUUCGAUUGAUUUCUUUUCUAUGGUAAAAUGAAUCGAUAACGCUAUGAUAACAGCUAGCACCAAUACAUUAAUACAUUAAUGUGGUCGGAACAUGUGUCAAUCGAAUUCGUUUUAAAUUUGACACACGAUCGCCGAAUUUUAAGUGCAAACGAAGUGUGAGCGGCCAUAUAAUUUGUAUGCUGAUACAUCGAAGAAAGUCAUUCGAGGUUAUUCGACGAAAUUACGAAAGGAUCGGACGCCGAAGAAACCUUUCGUUCGAUUCGAAGAAUAGAAGGAAGAGAUGAUUCAUAUAUGCUGACAUACACGAGAUGCUUUCGGAAAAUUAAAGAAUCAUUCGUUUCUGGUUGAAAGAAUAACUUUAUUCCGCUGUAAUACGAUCUUUAAAGUGCUACAGCAUAGAAAAAGGAAGAUCACAAAACAAUCUGCGUGGACUUACUUUAAAACGCGAUACUUCUAUUUUCUGAUCAUUAAAUUGUAUUUCCUCGUAGAUGCCUCUAUACUCGAAAAAAAGACGUAAAAGUGAGGAUGAUUUUUGUCGCAAAAAUAUAUGCUUUGAGCUAUUUCACUUUUCAUUCAAAGUGCCAUAGAACGUCGACGAAAGAUCGUAUAUCGACUAUUAAGAAAUCGUUGCCUUUAAAUCUGUUCUGAAACGAAUAGCGAAAAAAUUUCUUAAAUUUCACAGGCUUGUUCGAAUUUGUAGAAUUUUCGGAAUGAAAAAUGAUUUUCAUUUUCCCGCCCCGCUUCUAAGUAUAAAAGCGUCUUCGAGAAAAAUUAAUUUAGAGUUGAGAAAGUAGAGACUUCGCCAACUGAAGUUGUACAAUCCCACGCUAAUAGUUGUACAAUCUGUCAUCAGGAAAUUACAGUACUUCAAAAAUUGAUAACACUUUAAUUCAGAAUUGAUGAUCGUUUUUAACUUGCCCGCAAAGAUUUAAGUAAUAAACAACAAAUAAAAGAAAUAGGUAAAAGACCCAUUUUAUAAUUUCAGAAAACAAGGAUUUUCUAAUUUACAAUAUUUCACACAAAAAUAUUUACUUAAAUAGUCGUAUGGAAAUAUAAUUUAUUAAUCGGUAUCGAUGCAACCGUACGAUCUAGAAAAAAGAAAACACAAAUUUUAACUUUUGUUUAAAUUAAAAUGCAUCUAAUUAUAGAACGUAGAAACAUAAUUAUGAGGAUGGGAAUG